UUGCGAAAUUCAGAGGUGAGAGGUGGAGUACAAUGGUGAAGACCUGGGCUUUGGAAUCAAAUUGCCUCAGCCAUGUUCUACCACCCAUGUUCUAUCAUUAAUCAGUUGUGGAACUUUGGGCGGGUUUUGUAACCUCUAGGUGCCUCAGUUUCUGUAUCUGUGAAACGAGGGGCGGGGGGAUGUAUCGCUGGUAAAAUGACACAAGAUUGUCCACGUCAAGUGUUUGAAACAGUGCUUAGUAACUGUUAGCCAUUGUGGCCAUUACCUGCAAAGCCAAGGAAAUACAAGAACCUUUCUCACCUCAAAGAGUAAUUGAAAGGAUAAAGUGGGGUGAUGCACCAGAAACCUGCUGAAAAUUCAAGGGAGUGGGGCAAGAUCUGUCUGAUAAGAUUGGGGAUAGAUGCCAAGAGGGUGUGGGGGACAGAUGGUACAUGUGCCUCACACAAGACCUACCCAAUCAGAAUCUCCAGUUAAAACUGGUGUAAAAUCCCCUCUGGCGCUUUGAGUCUGUCACUCUCAGCCCAGGGUUCUGGAUUCCUGAGUAAGUAAGGAAGUGUUAGUCGCUCAGUCGUGCCCGACUCUUUGUGACCCCAUGGGCUGCAGCCCACCAGGCUCCUCUGUCCGUGAGAUCUUCCAGGAAAGGACACUGGAUCGAGCCCAGGGCUUCUGCACUGCAGGCAGAUUCUUUACCGACUGCGCUACAACGGAAGCCCUGAGAGGCGAGGGUCCGGUCUGCCGGCACCUGCCUCCGACCCCCUUGAAAGCGACAAAGCCGGGCGGCCCUCCGCCAGCCGCCACCUCCGAGUCUCUCGCCACACAGAAUUCUACGUGGGUAUAUGCCCUCAUCAACGUGCUUCUACCUACGAUCAUUCAUGCCUGCCCUUUUUCUGAGUCAAGAGACUUGAGAAUCCCCGGUGGAGCCUUCUUUGGAGAAUCGGUUUCAUUGUCUGCAUCCUCUCUGAUGGUUUCCUAA
rnacentral:lncRNA from 1 species